AGAGUAUCAAAUGCAACACUUGUCUCAUGAAGAGUCCCGAUGCCGAGUGCAUGACUGGGGUCGAAGGCUGCAUGUCUCAGGGAGAAAAAUGCAUGACCAUCCGCAUCAGCCAAGACGGAAAGGAGAAAUUCAGGAUUCUGGGCUGCACCAGACAGAAGAAAAAAGGCUGCGGCGUAAACAAGGAGUCGCACGGCCACCAGGUCAGCAUCCGAUGCUGCUCUUCGGACUACUGCAACGUCUAGCAAAGAGCUGGGAAUCCACCCCAGUCUCCAUAAUUCUCCUCUUCCCGCAUCUGCGCUCCGUUUUGUCUCCCCUCCUCGGGAGCCAAGCCAAGAUGUGAGAAAAAAGCGAGGAAUAGAAACUUACAGAUCUUUGCAAAACUCCCCUGGCUUCUCUGAGAUUUCCCUCAUAUUCCGGAAGAAGAAUGGCUUCUCUUCCUCAUCUCCACCCACAACCCACGUUUGCUUGCCUUCCCCCCCCCCUCUCCUCUCUGCGGGGCGUUUCUCACCCCUCUUGUCUUCCAGAAUAUUUCUGGGGUUGAGCAACAGAUUAUAUUUAGGAAACGUAAAUGACAGAAAUAAACGAUGGAAGCCUGCAAACAGCAAGAGUUGGGGCUUCCAACCCCCCCCCCCUUUGCAUAAUUUCAAAUGCAUGUGGUUGAAAAAUUGUGUGAUUUAAUUGUGUGAUUUUUCAAAUGAUAUUUCGCUGGAAUGGCUCAGUGAGGAAAGAAAAGUGAAAGAGACCAAAGAUAUUUGAAAAUGUGAUGCAAUGCGAAAUAUGAGUAUGUAAUUUAAUUAUUCUAACAAAUAAAGAAUUAUUAGCAAGUUGUUAUGAUUUUUAUAAAUGAGUUCCAAAUAUCAUUGUAUUUUACAAUCUGUGUCUAAAAGCAAUCCAUUCAUCUGUUGCAAGAGUUGUCCUACCCAUUGAUUAAAGGGGGUCAUAGUAUUAUCUGAAGGCAGCCCUGUUUAGGGAAGCUUUUAAUGUUUGAGGCAUUACUGUAUUUUAAUAUUUUGUUGGAAGCCGCCCAGAGUGUAUAAAUUAUUAUUAUUGUUAUUAUUAUUAUCAUUAUCAUCAUCUUUCCAAUGAAUCAGUAGCAGUCUUUUGGCAGAAGUUAGGGCACGGAGAACAAAUCCAUGUUGACCCACUGUCAAACCUCAUAUUGUUUGUGUAUGGUUCAAAAUAAUAUUAUCUGCCAGCCAAGUUAAUGGUCAUCGCUAAAUCUAGUGACAGCAAUUUUGAGAAAUUAGAGGACGUUGUGGUUAUUAUUUCACGCAUGAAUCAAUUCUUGUGAAGCAUCUCAAACAAAUUCACAACACAAUAAAUAAUAAUAAUUCCAUACAGUUGCAACCAACAUAUAGGUAGGGUUCAGCAUUAAUCUGUUAACAAACCUGACACAAGAUGCUGUAUUUGGUUUUCUGCAGAGUUGUUAAGAAACUCCUUUUCCCCUGCCCUCCCCCAAGCUAGUUUCCCAGAGUGGUUUAACAUACAAAUCCCUCUUCACAGGGAACUCUGGGAACUGUAGUUCUGUAGAGGCUCCCUACCAGCUCUCAGCCUCCUUAAUGAACUACAGCUCCCAUAAUUCUUUAGGAAAAGCCAGGAAUGUUUUUAAGGUAGUACGAUAUUGCUUCAAGUACAUGGUGUGUUCUUGAUUCUGUCAUAGAAAAGCAAAUCAAACUCUCUGUGGAAGCUGCUCCUUUCGAGGCCGGCAGAUGAAGCCAGGCUAGUUUUCCCUUUGCCGUAAUAAACUUUUGGGAGGCAGAGGUUGUAGCAUGUGAAGUGUGUGUGUGUGUGUUAUGCAUUUUGUGUUUUAUACUUUAAACUGCCCUGUUAUUAUUUCAGAUGUAGGGCCGUAUAUAAAAUUAAUAAUAUUAAUGAUUAUUUUAUUAUUAACCAAAUAGCAGCUGCAAGGAAGCCUGAUCAGCUUCCUUUUUUGCUUUCUGACGUUAGGCAGGAAGCAAGUUCUUUACAGUAAAUUCUUUGGGGGCUUAGGGCUGGGGCUGGGUUGGUCUUCCCCCUACACUUGCCAGGUUGUUCUUCCUGGGAGCAGGACCGGAUUUAGGUUUGAUGAGGCCCUAAGCUACUGAAGGUAAUGGGGCCCUUUAUAUUUCGAGCUGUCCUUUGUCAACAACAAAUUGUUGCUGGUUUUUUGUGUUGAAUCUAUGCUAUAUGGUAAUUUAUGGGCCUAAUAGGGAUCUAAAGCCAUUUACCCAUGUUGCCAUGCAACCAGUCCGUGCAGAAUGUAGGCACCCUAUAUCUAGAAAUGAGCAAACCAGUGAUAUUUUAGGGAGCAGGCUAGCAGGCGGGGCCCAUUACUUACAUCAUAGGAGCCUACACAACACAAAACACUGUUGCUGUGUGUAGGUUUCAUUUGUUUUUUAUCUUAUAUUUUGGAAAUGUACAUCUUUUUUUCCCUUUAAAUUUUUUGGGGGCUUCCAAGAGAGUGGGCCCUAACCUAUAGCUUGUUUAGCUUAUACGUAAACUAAGCACUGCCUGGGAGGCAGGAAGCACAUCUUCCCCAGUGGCCCUCAGGUCCCCUAACAGAGGGUGCUUCUCCACUCUGUAUCACAACCUCCACACUCUUUCAAUGAUGGUGCCACAUAGCUGACUCUGCGUGCACCAAUUUACCAUGCAUUUUCCCUGAAAGAGCACCUGGUGGAAGAGAAUUUGCCUAGCCAACACCACCCCAACUGCCCUUCUACUUAUGAUUAGCUUACAAAGGGUUGCCUCAAAGAUUGCCGAGAUGUGUGCGCUAUUCGUGAUUAUCUGAAAUGUUUGUCCGAUGAUGACCGUGACCCAACAUUAACUGGAAGCUCCAUCUCCCAAAAGAGCCGGUGUCCAUAACUGCUCAUUUUUGCUGCGUCCUUAGUUGGGUUCUAGUGUGGUGAAGUCGUUUGC
ensembl:lncRNA